rnacentral:rRNA from 1 species
AUUGAACGCUGGCGGCAGGCCUAACACAUGCAAGUCGAACGAGUGGCGGACGGGUGAGUAAUGUCUGGGAAACUGCCCGAUGGAGGGGGAUAACUACUGGAAACGGUAGCUAAUACCGCAUACUAUCGGAUGUGCCCAGAUGGGAUUAGCUAGUAGGUGGGGUAACGGCUCACCUAGGCGACGAUCCCUAGCUGGUCUGAGAGGAUGACCAGCCACACUGGAACUGAGACACGGUCCAGACUCCUACGGGAGGCAGCAGUGGGGAAUAUUGCACAAUGGGCGCAAGCCUGAUGCAGCCAUGCCGCGUGUAUGAAGAAGGCCUUCGGGUUGUAAAGUACUUUCAGGCGGGAGGCGUUACUCGCAGAAGAAGCACCGGCUAACUCCGUGCCAGCAGCCGCGGUAAUAC